rnacentral:rRNA from 1 species
GACGAACGCUGGCGGCGUGCCUAAUACAUGCAAGUUGAGCGCUGAAGGUUGGUACUUGUACCAACUGGAUGAGCAGCGAACGGGUGAGUAACGCGUGGGGAAUCUGCCUUUGAGCGGGGGACAACAUUUGGAAACGAAUGCUAAUACCGCAUAAAAACUUUAAACACAAGUUUUAAGUUUGAAAGAUGCAAUUGCAUCACUCAAAGAUGAUCCCGCGUUGUAUUAGCUAGUUGGUGAGGUAAAGGCUCACCAAGGCGAUGAUACAUAGCCGACCUGAGAGGGUGAUGGGCCACAUUGGGACUGAGACACGGCCCAAACUCCUACGGGAGGCAGCAGUAGGGAAUCUUCGGCAAUGGACGAAAGUCGGACCGAGAAACGCCGCGUGAGUGAAGAGGGUUUUCGGAUCGUAAAACUCUGUUGGUAGAGAAGAACGUGGGUGAGAGUGGAAAGCUCAUAAAGUGACGGUAACUACCCAGAAGGGGACGGCUAACUACGUG